UGGCUGCAGUAUGCUGUGUUUUCUGCAAACUGGCAACCCAGGCUGUUGAAAUAUUAUGGGAUAAACUGAAAAACCAUCGUCAGAUUAGAGUGGUCUGCCUCAUCUCAACUGCUUCCACAUUACUGCAGAAGUCACUUUUAAGGGAUUUCCUUGAGCCAUCAGAUGCAGGUGCUCUUCAAAGAUCAAAAGAGACCAAAACUGUGAUUUGAAUUCGUAGAACAUGAAUUUCCUCCACAUGUUGUUCUGGCUCACAGACCGGUCAUUUGACCUCUUUUCAUCAAACGAAUGUCGGGCUGAUUCCAGUUAACGUAACGGCCUGCCGUGAAGAUACAGCGGCUCAAAGGGGGUACGGCUUCGCUCUGCAGUCUGGGGCCUCCUAACAAGGUAUC